AGUACCGUGAGGGAAAGGUGAAAAGAACCCCGGGAGGGGAGUGAAAAAGAACCUGAAACCAUAUGCUUACAAACUGUAGGAGCAAGCAAGCAAUUGCAAGUGACUGCGUACUUUUUGUAGAACGGGCCAACGAGUUGCGAUAUGAUGCAAGGUUAAAUACUUAAGGUAUGGAGCCGAAGCGAAAGCGAGUCUUAAGAGGGCAAGAGUACCAUAUUGCAGACCCGAAACCGGGCGACCUAUCCAUGUCCAGAUUGAAGUUUCCGUAACAGGGAAUGGAGGAUCGAACCCACGUACGUUGAAAAGUGCGGGGAUGAGGUGUGGAUAGCGGUGAAAUUCCAAUCGAGCCCGGAGAUAGCUGGUUCUCUCCGAAAUAGCUUUAGGGCUAGCGUUUUGCAAGAUAUAUAUGGAGGUAAAGCACUGACUGUCCAAUGGGUCUUUUAGAUUACUGAGGAUUAUCAAACUAAGAAUGCCAUAUAUAGCGCAAAGCAGUCAGACUAUGAGUGAUAAGGUCCAUAGUCGAGAGGGAAAGAGCCCAGACCAACAGCUAAGGUCCCAAAAUAUAUGUUAAGUGGGAAAGGAUGUGAGAUUGCAUAGACAACCAGGAUGUUGGCUUAGAAGCAGCCAUACAUUUAAAGAGUGCGUAAUAGCUCACUGGUCGAGUGAUCCUGCGCCGAAAAUUACCGGGGCUAAAACAUAAUACCGAAGCUUUGGAUUAUACUGUAGAGUAUAGUGGUAGGAGAGCAUCGUAUACAGGAUGAAGCAGAAUCGAAAGAAAAAGUGGACCGUAUACGAGAGAGAAUGUUGGCAUGAGUAGCGAGAGGAAGGUGAGAAUCCUUCCGGCCGAAAACCUAAGGUUUCCUGAGGAAGGUUCGUCCGCUCAGGGUAAGUCGGGACCUAAGCCAAGGCCGAAAGGCGUAGGUGAUGGACAACGGGUAAUAAAUCCCGUACCACCGUAGUUGAAUGAGCGAAGGGGGGACGCAGGAGGAUGACCGGAGCACGCCGUUGGUAGAGCGUGUCCAAGCAGAAAGCGAGUAAGACCAGGCAAAUCCGGUAAUACAAUCGUAAUCUGUGAUGGGGAGUGAAAAUAAAGUAGCGAAGCCGAAUCAUUCAAACUGCCAGGAAAAGCCUCUAGCAAGACCAAGGUGCCCGUACCGCAAACCGACACAGGUAGGUGAGGAGAGAAUCCUAAGGCCAGCGAGAGAACUGUUGUUAAGGAACUCGGCAAAAUAACCCCGUAACCUAGGGAGAAGGGGAGCCUGCGAGAGCAGGCCGCAGAGAAUAGGCCCAAGCGACUGUUUACCAAAAACAUAGGUUUCUGCAAAACUGCAAAGUGAAGUAUAGGAGCUGACGCCUGCCCGGUGCUGGAAGGUUAAGGGGAAGACUUAGAGCAAUCGAAGGUUCGAACUUAAGCCCCAGUAAACGGCGGCCGUAACUAUAACGGUCCUAAGGUAGCGAAAUUCCUUGUCGGGUAAGUUCCGACCCGCACGAAAGGCGUAACGAUUUGGGCACUGUCUCAACAACAGACUCGGUGAAAUUGUAGUGCCGGUGAAGAUGCCGGACACCUGCGACAGGACGGAAAGACCCCAUGGAGCUUUACUGCAGCUUAGCAUUGGAUUUAGGUAACAGAUGUACAGGAUAGGUGGGAGACUUAGAGUAUAGGGCGUCAGCCUUGUAGGAGUCAACGUUGGGAUACCACCCUUGUGUUGCUUGAAUUCUAACUAGAAUCAUUGAAUCAUGAUAUAGGACACUGCUUGGCGGGCAGUUUGACUGGGGCGGUCGCCUCCCAAAGAGUAACGGAGGCGUCCAAAGGUUCCCUCAUCACGGACGGAAAUCGUGAGAAGAGUGCAAAGGCAAAAGGGAGCUUGAUUGCGAGACAAACAGGUCGAGCAAGGACGAAAGUCGGGCUUAGUGAUCCGGUGGUAGAAAGUGGAAUUGCCAUCGCUCAACGGAUAAAAGCUACCCUGGGGAUAACAGGCUUAU
rnacentral:rRNA from 1 species